rnacentral:rRNA from 1 species
GGCAGCGAGAUCAGUGCUUGCACUGAUUGUCGGCGACCGGCGCACGGGUGCGUAACGCGUAUGCAACCUACCCAUUACAGGGGGAUAACACUGAGAAAUCGGUACUAAUACCCCAUAACAUCCAGGGAGGCAUCUUCUUGGGUUGAAAACUCCGGUGGUAAUGGAUGGGCAUGCGUUGUAUUAGUUAGUUGGUGGGGUAACGGCUCACCAAGACGACGAUACAUAGGGGGACUGAGAGGUUAACCCCCCACAUUGGUACUGAGACACGGACCAAACUCCUACGGGAGGCAGCAGUGAGGAAUAUUGGUCAAUGGACGCAAGUCUGAACCAGCCAUGCCGCGUGCAGGAAGACGGCUCUAUGAGUUGUAAACUGCUUUUGUACGAGGGUAAACGCAGAUACGUGUAUCUGUCUGAAAGUAUCGUACGAAUAAGGAUCGGCUAACUCCGUGCCAGCAGCCGCGGUAAUACGGAGGAUUCAAGCGUUAUCCGGAUUUAUUGGGUUUAAAGGGUGCGUAGGCGGUCGGAUAAGUUAGAGGUGAAAUCCCGGGGCUCAACUUCGGAAUUGCCUCUGAUACUGUUCGGCUAGAGAGUAGUUGCGGUAGGCGGAAUGUAUGGUGUAGCGGUGAAAUGCUUAGAGAUCAUACAGAACACCGAUUGCGAAGGCAGCUUACCAAGCUACUUCUGACGUUGAGGCACGAAAGCGUGGGGAGCAAACAGGAUUAGAUACCCUGGUAGUCCACGCAGUAAACGAUGAUAACUCGUUGUCGGCGAUACAAUGUCGGUGACUAAGCGAAAGCGAUAAGUUAUCCACCUGGGGAGUACGUUCGCAAGAAUGAAACUCAAAGGAAU